rnacentral:rRNA from 1 species
UACGGGGGGAGCAAGCGUUGUUCGGAUUUACUGGGCGUAAAGGGCGCGUAGGCGGCCAGCACAAGUCAGUUGUGAAAUCUCCGAGCUUAACUCGGAACGGUCAACUGAUACUGUGCGGCUAGAGUGCAGAAGGGGCAACUGGAAUUCUUGGUGUAGCGGUGAAAUGCGUAGAUAUCAAGAGGAACACCUGCGGCGAAGGCGGGUUGCUGGGCUGACACUGACGCUGAGGCGCGAAAGCGUGGGGAGCGAACAGG